rnacentral:rRNA from 1 species
GGUCAAGUUAUUAAGGGUGCAGGGCGGAUGCCUUGGCACUAGGAGCCGAUGAAGGACGUGAUAAGCUGCGAUAAGCUUCGGGGAGUUGCACGUAAACUUUGAUCCGAAGAUUUCCGAAUGAGGAAACUCACUUAGAGUAAUGUCUAAGUAUCAUUAAGUGAAUACAUAGCUUAAUGAGGGGAACUCAGGGAACUGAAACAUCUAAGUACCUGAAGGAAGAGAAAGAAAUUCGAUUCCGUAAGUAGCGGCGAGCGAACGCGGAUUAGCCCAAACCAAUAAAGUUUUCUUUAUUGGGGUUGCGGACAUAUCAUAACGAAGAGGUAUCGUAAUUGAAGAGGUUUGGAAAGACCCACCACAGAAGGUAAUAGUCCUGUAUGUUAAACGAGAAGACUUCAGAUAUGAUCCAGAGUACCACGGGACACGUGAAACCCUGUGGGAAGCAGGAGGGACCACCCUCCAAGGCUAAAUACUACCUAGUGACCGAUAGCGUAUAGUACCGUGAGGGAAAGGUGAAAAGAACCCCGGGAGGGGAGUGAAAUAGAACCUGAAACCCUGCACUUACAAGCUGUGGAAGCACAUUUCUUGUGUGACCGCGUACUUUUUGUAGAACGGGCCAACGAGUUACGUUAAGUAGCAAGGUUAAGCACUUAAGGUGUGGAGCCGUAGCGAAAGCGAGUUUUAACUGAGCGUUCAGUUACUUGACGUAGACCCGAAACCGGGCGACCUACCCAUGAGCAGGAUGAAGCGAAAGUAAAAUUUCGUGGAGGUCCGAACCCACGAGCG